UACGUAGGGUGCAAGCGUUAAUCGGAAUUACUGGGCGUAAAGCGUGCACAGGCGGUUAUGUAAGACAGUUGUGAAAUCCCCGGGCUCAACCUGGGAACUGCAUCUGUGACUGCAUAGCUAGAGUACGGUAGAGGGGGAUGGAAUUCCGCGUGUAGCAGUGAAAUGCGUAGAUAUGCGGAGGAACACCGAUGGCGAAGGCGAGUCUCUAGACAACUCCUGACACUGAGGCACGAAAGCUAGGGGAGCAAACAGG
rnacentral:rRNA from 1 species